GGUUUUUAAUUCAUAAUACAAAAAAUUAAAAAUAAAACUAAAAGGACGCGGUAACCUUGACCGUGAUAAUGUAGCAUAAUCACUCGCCAUUUAAUUGAUGGAUAGUAUGAAUGGUUGAACGAAUACUCCACUGUCUUAAAGAGAAUUACAAGAAAUUGAAAUAAUAGUUAAGAUGCUAUUUAAAACUGUAAGACGAAAAGACCCUAUAGAGCUUAACUAUAACCUCUUUAUUAGAAAAGAAAAAUAAUUUUCUUGAGUAAAGAGGUUGGUAGUUUAGUUGGGGCGACUGUCUUCUAAAGAAAACGAAGACAAGCAAUGUUAAUAAAAAACUUAUUGUAUAAUAAAAUUAUUUAACAAUUAUGAAAGUAGGCUAUAUUGACCCGUUUCUACUAAAAAACAAAGAAAAACGAUCAAUUAAUAAAAGCUACCUUAGGGAUAACAGGAUAAUUUCAUUUUAGAGCUCAUAUCGAAAAUGAAGUUUGUCACCUCUAUGUUGAAUUAA
rnacentral:rRNA from 1 species